AUUGAACGCUGGCGGCAGGCCUAACACAUGCAAGUCGAGCGAGCGGCGGACGGGUGAGUAAUGUAUGGGGACUGCCCGAUAGAGGUGGAUAACUACUGGAAACGGUAGCUAAUACCGCAUACUAUCGGAUAACCCAUAUGGGAUCAGCUAGUAGGUGAGUUAAUGGCUCACCUAGGCGCCGCUCCCUAGCUGGUCUGAGAGGAUGAUCAGACACACGGGGAAUGAGACACGGCCCAGAUUCAUACGGAGGCAGCAGUGGGGAAGAUUGCAAGAUGGGCGCAAGCCUGAUGCAGCCAUGCCGCGUGUAUGAAGAAGGCCCUAGGGUUGGAAAGUACUUUCAGUCGGGAGGCGUUACCGACAGAAGAAGCACCGGCUAACUCCGUGCCAGCAGACGCGGUAAUUC
rnacentral:rRNA from 1 species